rnacentral:rRNA from 1 species
UACGAGGGGGGCAAGCGUUGUUCGGAAUUAUUGGGCGUAAAGGGCGCGUAGGCGGUGCGGUAAGUCACCUGUGAAAUCUCUGGGCUCAACUCAGAGUCUGCAGGCGAAACUGCCGUGCUGGAGUAUGGGAGAGGUGCGUGGAAUUCCCGGUGUAGCGGUGAAAUGCGUAGAUAUCGGAAGGAACAUCAGUGGCGAAAGCGGCUUCCUGGACCAGCACCGACGUUCAGGCACGAAAGCGUGGGGAGCAAACAGG